UGUCUCCGCCCACUUCCGCUUUUACCUCACCUGGUCCUGCCUUUCGGCUCCGCGCAGCACCUCCAGGUGUGCGUGGAAGCUCCCGGGCUCGCGCUCGUCGCGGAAGCCCUGCCUUUCCCGCGCUGUCUCGGAGCAACCCUGCAGACGUCUGUAGAGUUCGCUCCUGCACCUAGCGAUGUGCUCCUCGAGACAGUCUCCGGAGAGAGAAGAUGCGAACUACACUGUUAUUCCCACCUAGAGAACACUACCGGUAACCAUCAACAGCUGGAAUCGAAGUCAGGAUCAUCAACUCAAAUUGAGGAGGUCCGGGUAUCAGGAGAAGUCCCCCGAUAACACCUGUGAGGUGCUGAGAAACUGCAGUGGCACAAGGGGCCGGUGCUGGCACGGAGCAGCCGGGGUCCAGGCGACCCCCAGGUGUUCUCAGAUCGAGACUGGAUUACGACAUCCCCUCUGAAGCCUAAUGAACACAAGCAGUUGAACAAGAGGACUUUUGAAAA